AAGUCGUAACAAGGUUUCCGUAGGUGAACCUGCGGAAGGAUCAUUAGUGAAUGAUUUGUAGACGGCCUCUUGCAAACAAACAAGGGCCUCUCAAACCCCCCUCACUAUCAACGCCGGCCAAAGGGCGCAUGCUACCAAGCAUCGUCCCAAAGUCGAGGGUAUCUCCAGAUCCCAUCCCCUCACAGGGACGGGGGAGGCCACCAAUGGGUAACGUUGGUAGCCUCUUGUGAAGGUGCCCGGAAAUCGAAUGCCAGACAGUCCGCAAGGGCCCUGGCAUGACUUUAGAAUCACAGAGUUAUGUAUGUACAAAGUAGUAUUACAAACAAAUACAACUUUCAGCAACGGAUCUCUUGGCUCUC
rnacentral:misc_RNA from 1 species